rnacentral:rRNA from 1 species
UACGAGGGGGGCAAGCGUUGUUCGGAAUUAUUGGGCGUAAAGGGCGCGUAGGCGGUGCGGUAAGUCACCUGUGAAAACUCUGGGCUCAACUCAGAGCCUGCAGGCGAAACUGCCGUGCUUGAGUGUGGGAGAGGUGCGUGGAAUUCCCGGUGUAGCGGUGAAAUGCGUAGAUAUCUGGAGGAAUACCGGUGGCGAAGGCGGCAUCCUGGACCGACAUUGACGCUGAGGAGCGAAAGCUAGGGGAGCAAACAGG